rnacentral:rRNA from 1 species
CUUGGUCAUUUAGAGGAAGUAAAAGUCGUAACAAGGUCUCCGUUGGUGAACCAGCGGAGGGAUCAUUAUCGAGUUAUUCAACUCCCAAACCCUAUGUGAACUUACCACUUGUUGCUUCGGCGCGCGCUUCGGCGCCGCCGAGGACACUUAAACUCUUUGUUUUUAUAAGCAUUUCUGAGUGGCCGAAAGGCAAAAAUACAAAUGAAUCAAAACUUUCAACAACGGAUCUCUUGGUUCUGGCAUCGAUGAAGAACGCAGCGAAAUGCGAUAAGUAAUGUGAAUUGCAGAAUUCAGUGAAUCAUCGAAUCUUUGAACGCACAUUGCGCCCGCCAGCAUUCUGGCGGGCAUGCCUGUUCGAGCGUCAUUUCAACCCUCGAGCCCGACUCUUUUGAGGACGGCUCGGCGUUGGGGGACGGCAGACUCCCCCCGGCAUCUCGCCGGGGACGCCGCCCCCGAAAUCUAGUGGCGGCCCUCCGAGGCGACCUCUGCGUAGUAACUUGUUCUCGCACCGGAAAGCUCAGAGCGGCCACGCCGUAAAACCCCAACUUUUUUCAGGUUGACCUCGAAUCAGGU